rnacentral:rRNA from 1 species
GACAGAGGUGGCAAGCGUUGUUCGGAAUUACUGGGCGUAAAGGGCGCGUAGGCGGUCUGGUCAGUCCCUUGUGAAAUCCCCCGGCUCAACUGGGGAACUGCACGGGAAACAGCCGGGCUUGAGUUCGGGAGAGGGAAGCGGAAUUCCGGGUGUAGCGGUGAAAUGCGUAGAUAUCCGGAGGAACACCGGUGGCGAAGGCGGCCCACUGGUCCGGUACUGACGCUGAGGUGACGAAGCGUGGGGAGCAAACAGGAUAGAA